rnacentral:tRNA from 1 species
GUAGUCAUGGCCGAGUGGUCAAGGCGAUGGAGUUGAAUUCCAUUGGGGUACACCCCCACGCAGGUUCGAAUCCUGCUGACUACG